rnacentral:rRNA from 1 species
UAUAUAUAUAUAAGAAUAAUGAUGAGAAUAUAUAUAGAAGUCUUAACCAAAAUUAGUGCCAGCAGUUGCGGCUAAACUAAGGAGGCAAACGUUAAUCAUUAAUGGCUUAAA